UAGAGUUUGAUCCUGGCUCAGGACGAACGCUGGCGGCGCGCUUAACACAUGCAAGUCGAGCGGGAACCGGGCCUUCAGGCCCGGGGACAACGGCUAACGGGUGAGUAACACGUGGGUAAUCUGCCCUCUGUACUGGGAUAGCCCGGGGAUACCCGGAUUACUACAGGAUACCCCUUCUAGCCUUCGGGCUCGCAUGAUCAAGUACCUUCGGCUUCCGACCUACGAUGAUCCCACGACGGAUUAGCUUGUUGGCGGGGUGGCGGCGUACCAGCGCGACGAUGCUUAGAUGGGCAGAUAGGAUGAUAGGACAACCUGGGACUGUGAAACUGACACAACUCCUACAGGAGGACGGGUGGGGGAAUCCUACACUUUGUCUCAAUGGGGGAAGCCCUGAAGGAGCGAGCGGGCAUAGAGGAUUCAGGUCUUAAGC
rnacentral:rRNA from 1 species